GAUGAACGCUGGCGGCGUGCCUAAUACAUGCAAGUCGAGCGAACAGACGAGGAGCUUGCUCCUCUGACGUUAGCGGCUGACGGGUGAGUAACACGUGGAUAACCUACCUAUAAGACUUGGAUAACUUCGGGAAACCGGAGCUAAUACCGGAUAAUAUAUUGAACCGCAUGGUUCAAUAGUGAAAGACGGUUUUGCUGUCACUUAUAGAUGGAUCCGCGCCGCAUUAGCUAGUUGGUAAGGUAACGGCUUACCAAGGCAACGAUGCGUAGCCGACCUGAGAGGGGGAUAGGCCACACUGGAACUGAGACACGGUCCAGACUCCUACGGGAGGCAGCAGUAGGGAAUCUUCCGCAAUGGGCGAAAGCCUGACGGAGCAACGCCGCGUGAGUGAUGAAGGUCUUCGGAUCGUAAAACUCUGUUAUUAGGGAAGAACAAAUGUGUAAGUAACUAUGCACGUCUUGACGGUACCUAAUCAGAAAGCCACGGCUAACUACGUG
rnacentral:rRNA from 1 species